rnacentral:rRNA from 1 species
AACGAACGCUGGCGGCAGGCCUAACACAUGCAAGUCGAACGCCCCGCAAGGGGAGUGGCAAACGGGUGAGUAACACGUGGGAAUUUUCCUCAUAGUUCGGGAUAGCCUCGGGAAACUGGGAUUAAUACCGGAUACGGUCUACGGACGAAAGAUUUAUCGCUAUGAGAUAAGCCCGCGCCUGAUUAGCUAGUUGGUGAGGUAAUGGCUCACCAAGGCUACGAUCAGUAGCUGGUCUGAGAGGACGACCAGCCACACUGGGACUGAGAUACGGCCCAGACUCCUACGGGAGGCAGCAGUGGGGAAUAUUGGACAAUGGGCGCAAGCCUGAUCCAGCCAUGCCGCGUGAGUGAUGAAGGCCUUCGGGUUGUAAAGCUCUUUAGCAGGGGAAAAUAAUGAUGGUACCCUGAAAAUAAGCUCCGGCUAACUCCGUGCCAGCAGCCGCCGCAGUAA